AAUACAUUUAGUGGCGUAGAAGAUGAAUCUCAACCAUUUUGUUCUGGGUAGGGCCAACCUUAAUUUAUUGUCCUGGUCCAACACCUUGUUUUUAGUCUCUGUUGUCCAGCUUCUAGGACCAUCAACAAAUAAGUCCCCAUUAAUUGCAGAGUGAGCUCAUCAUUAGAAGCACCUGCUUUGUGCAAGCUGCAUUUAGGGCAGUCAAGCCCACUGCCUACCCAGUGUGGUUGUCAUUCGGCCUGGCAUGCAUUCAUGACAGAAUUACAUGCCCCCUCUCUCUGCAGACUUACAUCCUAUGACAGCAAUGAGGUGAAAAGAAUCUCCGACUCUUCCAACACCUUCCCUAAUUUGACUAACAUUACCUGGCAAUGUAUACUAAGGGAAGGGAUUUGACACAAUUAUG